AUACCGGAUCUAUCGGUGCAUCGACCCGCGUAGGACUCGCUUCCUCAAUCGGGCCUUCAGCCGAGCUCCAGCACUGAAGCCUCCACACAGUCAUUAAAGUACAGAGCUCGGACUUCCUGCUUCCCCUGCUCCACCGUCAAGGUGCUUCGAGCUUUCGUGGAGGUCAAACAAGGGUUUCAAAUUGCGUCUCGAUUCUCUCCAAUCGUGCAGAAAGCUCAAGAAAGAAUGGAGGAACCUCAGAAAAUUAAUGGAGGUUCAGCGGCGGUCGCUGCGGAGAGCGAGGAGGAGCCGAUGAUUGGGCCUGGCCCGGUCCUUAGAGCCCCCCGUAAGCGCCCUCUGCAAUUCGAGCAUGCGUACCUCGACUCGCUACCAUCUGCCAACAUGUACGAGAAAAGUUACAUGCAUCGGGAUGUUGUCUCACAUGUUGCAGUGUCUGCAGCAGAUUUUUUCAUUACUGGAAGUGCUGAUGGGCAUUUGAAGUUUUGGAAGAAAAAGGCUAUUGGCGUUGAGUUUGCAAAGCAUUUUAGAUCACAUCUUGGUCCCAUUGAAGGGCUGGCUGUUAGUGUAGAUGGUUUGCUUUGCUGUACAAUUUCAAAUGACCAUUCUGUGAAAAUAUAUGACGUAGUCAACUAUGACAUGAUGGUUAUGAUACGCCUACCUUUUGUUCCUGGUACCAUUGAAUGGGUUUACAAACAAGGGGAUGUCAAAGCUAAGCUUGCUGUAAGUGAUCGUAAUUCCGCUUUCUUACACAUAUAUGAUGCACGAGCUGGUUCAAAUGAACCCAUAAUCUCCAGAGAGAUACACUUGGGGCCAGUGAAGGUCAUGAAGUAUAACCAUGUGUUUGACACUGUGAUAUCUGCAGAUUCUAAGGGAAUCAUUGAGUAUUGGAGCCCUGCUACACUACAGUUUCCAGAGAAUGGGGUGAAUUUUCGAUUGAAAAGUGAUACUAAUCUCUUUGAAAUUGUGAAGUGCAAAACGACCAUUUCUGCUAUUGAGGUAAGCCCUGAUGGAAAGCAAUUUUCUAUUACAUCACCUGAUCGUAGGAUGCGAGUAUUUUGGUUUAGAAGUGGUAAACUAAGAAGAGUUUAUGAUGAAUCCCUUGAGGUGGCCCAGGAUCUGCAAAGAAGCGAUGCUCCCUUGUACCGGCUAGAAGCAAUUGAUUUUGGGCGAAGAAUGGCCGUGGAGAAGGAAAUAGAGAAAACUGAAAAUGCUCCUCAACCAAAUGCUAUUUUUGAUGAAAGCUCUAACUUCCUUAUAUAUGCUACCCUCCUUGGGAUAAAAAUAAUAAAUUUACACACCAAUAAAGUUGCACGAAUUCUUGGGAAGGUAGAAAACAAUGAUCGAUUUUUGAGAAUAGCAUUGUAUCAAGGUGAUAGAAGCAGUAAAAAAGUAAGAAAAAUUCCUGCAGCUGCAGCCAAUGUUAAUGAAAGCAAGGAGCCUUUGAUAGAUCCCACCCUAUUGUGCUGUGCUUUCAAGAAGCAUAGGAUCUAUUUAUUCAGUCGGCGAGAGCCAGAAGAGCCUGAAGAUGCUACCAAGGGAAGGGAUGUAUUUAAUGAAAAACCACCUCCUGAUGAACUAUUGGCUGUAUCAGAUAUCGGAAAAACUGCCACAACAUCCCUACCAGACAAUGUGAUAUUGCACACCACUAUGGGCGAUGUUCACAUGAGGCUAUAUCCAGAAGAAUGUCCAAAAACUGUAGAGAACUUCACAACGCACUGCCGAAAUGGCUAUUAUGAUAAUCUUACUUUUCACCGUGUCAUCAAAGGCUUCAUGAUACAGACAGGAGAUCCUUUAGGAGAUGGCACUGGUGGACAAUCGAUUUGGGGAAGGGAGUUUGAAGAUGAGUUUCACAAAAGUUUACGGCAUGAUAGACCUUUUACAGUGUCAAUGGCAAAUGCAGGGCCAAACACAAAUGGCUCCCAGUUCUUUAUUACAACAGUGGCUACUCCUUGGCUGGACAAUAAGCACACAGUUUUUGGAAGAGUUGUGAAGGGAAUGGAUGUUGUCCAGGCUAUAGAGAAGGUGAAAACAGACAAGGCAGACAAGCCAUACCAAGAUGUGAAAAUCUUAAAUGUGACCAUCCCGAAGCUUUGAAAGCUUUCAGUUGUAAAGAUAUGUCUGAUCUGAUAUGAUUGGUGGUCCUGUUUGGAUCACUAGCUACAAAGAGUUGUACUUUAGGGAACUCAAAUUCAGCCUGGAUGAAGACUACAAUUCUGUCAUUUGAGAUCGGAGAACAAGCAUAUGGCGAGCUAUGUUGCUUUGGCAUCUGCUUUAGGCGAAACACUGAUAAAUGGUGUCUAGAUAGGUUUGUCUGUUGAGUCCGUAACAACUGUAUGUCACGUUUCUUGAGACUGAUUAGGUGCAGAUUGUCUUAACAGGUUAUGUGUAUACUCUCUCUCUCUCUCUCUCUCUCUAUAUAUAUAUAUCUAUAUAUAUAUAUAUAUAUAUCGUUUUUAGUACAA